CCUCUUUUGAGUUAGCUCUCUCUCUCUCUCUCCACGAUCAAACGAAAUCCUAAUAGAAAAAGAAAGGUAUAUCCAAAACACAAGCGCAUACAUCCUGGUAUGUAUAUAUCUAUAUAAUUUUGGCCUUCUAUUGAUCUUUUUUGCAUCAAACCAAUUUUAUUUUCUUCUCCAGUCAAUUGGGCCUCGAAAUAGGUACUCGUGAAGGAGAUGGACUGUAGCACCAAUUUUUGUUGUUUUGGCAUGAUUUCUAGAAUAUCGAAAUGGCUCGAAACAAGGUAAACUAUCUGUCUUUGAUUUUCCACAUUCAACUAUCAAAUAACAUCAUUUUUAUAGGGUCAAUUGUGUAAGCUAUUACAUUAUCAUUUAGUUUUUUAUUUUUUUUUCUGAAUUUUUGCUACUCAAAUUUUUAUUCUUUGAUUCACGGCUAGCCUUGAGUUGUUCUCUAUAUAUGUUGUAUUGGAUGUAUAUCGUUAUUACGUUGUGUUGUUGAAAUGGAUGCAAAAUUAGAAAUAAAUGUAAAAUCAAGAAUUUGGGUUGGGUUUUAGGUGAUUAACUUCAAAAAAUGGUAAUCAAAGUAAAUUCAUUACAUUAUUUAGCUUUUAGAAAAAUUAGGUGGAGUUUUUCUAUGGUAUAGUCCCCUUCCCUGAUAGUAUUUUUUAACUCAACAGGAGGGUUUAGUUUUGAUGCUUCAUGUUGGUCGAACAAUGCAAGCUGUGCUGCAAGAAGUCAAAAAGGUUUGUUUUAUGUUAGUGCAAAAGAAUGUCUGUUAAUUAGUUUUUUAUUUGAAUUUCUUUUUGCCAUCAACAUCUCUGUUCAAUGUACUGUGAAUUUUGGUAUUGUUGUACUUAAUCUAAACUUCUAAUAUCUCUUUUUGCGUUUACACGGAUGAUAUUCAGUAAGAAUGAUGAAUUAGGACUUGUUGUAUUUGGUACCAAGGUAUUUUUGAGUGUCUGAAUUAGUGUGAUGCAAGAUGAGGAAUUAUAUUAUUUUAUGGCCAAAUCUUUGCUCACUCUUUAUUGUAGUUGUUGAGUUUUAAUUCUCAAGAUAGGAGUCCUUCUAAUUGUUACUUGUACCUUUAUAUGUGUAGUAUCAUCCAACUAGAAUCAUGAAAAUGUUCAUAUUUGAUUUGAUUUUUAUUUUUUUUAGUUUAUCAAAACUAAAUGUUGAACCUUAUAGUUGUAUCUUCAUUUCAUUUGCUUCUAAUAUGGAAAUCAAGAAAACAGCAUUUCCCACAUUGUAGAAUAAAACCUUUUACAUUCACGAAUGUUGCUUCUUUAGAACUUCUAAUUAGCAUGAAAACAACGUAGUCUUUUAAAUUUUUCCUUCUAAUAUUUCGAUUAAAUAUUCUCAAUUGAUUGAGAUUGACUGCACUUCCCUAUGACAAAUACCUAUAGUCUGCUAUUAUUUUGGCUAAUAUUUUAUUCUUUUUACCGUUAACUAAAUUUUGAAAUUAUUUCAUUUUUGUUCAGUUAGAUGCCUUUAAAAAAAUUCCUCUCUUUCUUUUACUAUUAAUCUUUAUUCUCACCACAUUAACAAUUUAAGUGACCUCUAUAAAUGUCAUGUAUCUUUCUGAAAUCAUUCCAAGUCUGAAAUGCUCAAUCUUCACUAACUUGUUAUUAACUAAAUGAUUUAUUAUAUGAUCAACAUUUGGUUUAGUUUCUUUAGGUUUUCCAUCAAGAUUUCCUUAACGCUUAUUUCCUUAAUUUUUUGAAAACUUCUUUUAUACCACUUUCAGCUCCUUGAUAAAUGCAGGUUUAUUGCGCUUAUUCGGACCAUUAAACUUAGAUAUUUGCGAGUUUUAUUAGCGAUUUAUGACUUAAUUUUCUUAUUUUUAUUUUGUAGGUGAAAACUCGAGAUUAAACGAUGAAUUGAAGGAAUUUAUGCGAGAAACAAGCUAAAAAUGAAGGCAAACGAAGAAGACGACCAAAGACGCCGUCGAAAGAAGAUUCAAAAUAAAUAAAUAAAUAAAUAAAUUUCAGCGAGCUGGGUGUCGUGGCGCCUAGGCGCUACCCGGGCCGUUUUUAAUUGUUUUCAAAGUUUCAGGGACCAAUGCUGCAAUUUUCUUUAGGUUUUAAGUUAAAACAUUCAACCAAACACAAUAUUUUUCAUUCUUGAACUUGAGGGGCAACUGGUUCUUCUUCUUGUUUUCUUUCUUUUUCCUUUCACCUUUAUUUUCUAAAAUAUUUUGGGGAAGAUUAGAACAUUUUUAGAUGAUGAUCCAUUGAUAUUA
rnacentral:lncRNA from 1 species